rnacentral:rRNA from 1 species
UACGUAGGGGGCAAGCGUUGUCCGGAAUUAUUGGGCGUAAAGAGCGCGUAGGCGGUCCGAUAAGUCGGCUGUGAAAGUCUAGGGCUCAACCCUGGAAAGCCGGCCGAUACUGUCGGACUAGAGUCCGAGAGGCGAGUGGAAUUCCCGGUGUAGCGGUGAAAUGCGCAGAUAUCGGGAGGAGCACCAAUGGCGAAGGCAGCUCGCUGGGACGGUACUGACGCUGAGGCGCGAAAGCGUGGGGAGCAAACAGG